rnacentral:rRNA from 1 species
UAGGGAAUAUUGGACAAUGGGCGCAAGCCUGAUCCAGCCAUGCCGCGUGAGUGAAGAAGGCCCUCGGGUUGUAAAGCUCUUUUGUUGGGGAAGAAAAGCAGUCGGUUAAUACCUGAUUGUUCUGACGGUACCCAAAGAAUAAGCACCGGCUAACUUCGUGCCAGCAGCCGCGGUAAUACGAAGGGUGCAAGCGUUACUCGGAAUUACUGGGCGUAAAGCGUGCGUAGGUGGUUUGUUAAGUCUGAUGUGAAAGCCCUGGGCUCAACCUGGGAAUGGCACUGGAUACUGGCAAGCUAGAGUGUGGCAGAGGGUAGUGGAAUUCCUGGUGUAGCAGUGAAAUGCGUAGAGAUCAGGAGGAACAUCCGUGGCGAAGGCGACUGCCUGGGCCAACACUGACACUGAGGCACGAAAGCGUGGGGAGCAAACA